CCUACGGGAGGCAGCAGUCGCGAAUUUUUCACAAUGGACGCAAGUCUGAUGAAGCCACGCCGUGUGCGGGAUGAAGGCUCUUUGAGUUGUAAACCGCUGUCAAGUGGAGGGAAACGUACGGUGUUAACAGCGCCGUGCCUGACUGUCCGCUAAAGGAAGCCCCGGCAAAACAUGUGCCAGCAGCCGCGGUAAUACAUGUGGGGCAAGCGUUGUUCGGAAUUACUGGGCAUAAAGGGUGCGUAGGCGGCAUGUUAAGUCAGGGGUGAAAUCCCACGGCCCAACCGUGGAACUGCCUUUGAUACUGGCGUGCUUGAGUGCGUGAGGGGUAACCGGAACGAGUAGUGUAGCGGUGAAAUGCGUAGAUAUUACUCGGAAGGCCAAAGGCGAAGGCAGGUUACUGGUACGCAACUGACGCUGAGGCACGAAAGCGUGGGGAGCAAACAGGAUUAGAUACCCUGGUAGUCCACGCCGUAAACGAUGAGCACUAGGUUGAUGGCACGCUACGUGUUGUCAGCGCAGAAAAUUAAAAUUAAAGUAGCGUCCGCCGUCGGGGAGGGUAAGUGGUUCGGUUCGAAGGACGUUGAAACGUAACGAAAGGAAAGUUAGUACGGCGUUGAGAGUUGCCGAACGGACGACACGAGGGGAGGAGGAG
rnacentral:rRNA from 1 species